rnacentral:rRNA from 1 species
ACUCCUACGGGAGGCAGCAGUGGGGAAUAUUGCACAAUGGGGGAAACCCUGAUGCAGCCAUGCCGCGUGUGUGAAGAAGGCCUUCGGUUGUAAAGCACUUUCAGUAGGGAGGAAGGUAGUGUAGUUAACACCUGCAUUAUUUGUACGUUACCUACAGAAGAAGCACCGGCUAACUCCGUGCCAGCAGCCGCGGUAAUACGGAGGGUGCGAGCGUUAAUCGGAAUUACUGGGCGUAAAGCGCAUGCAGGCGGCCUGUUAAGUCAGAUGUGAAAGCCCGGGGCUUAACCUCGGAAUUGCAUUUGAAACUGGCAGGCUAGAGUCUUGUAGAGGGGGUAGGAA